rnacentral:rRNA from 1 species
CAUGCAGUCGAGCGGACAGAAGGGAGCUUGCUCCCGGAUGUUAGCGGCGGACGGGUGAGUAACACGUGGGUAACCUGCCUGUAAGACUGGGAUAACUCCGGGAAACCGGAGCUAAUACCGGAUAGUUCCUUGAACCGCAUGGUUCAAGGAUGAAAGACGGUUUCGGCUGUCACUUACAGAUGGACCCGCGGCGCAUUAGCUAGUUGGUGGGGUAAUGGCUCACCAAGGCGACGAUGCGUAGCCGACCUGAGAGGGUGAUCGGCCACACUGGGACUGAGACACGGCCCAGACUCCUACGGGAGGCAGCAGUAGGGAAUCUUCCGCAAUGGACGAAAGUCUGACGGAGCAACGCCGCGUGAGUGAUGAAGGUUUUCGGAUCGUAAAGCUCUGUUGUUAGGGAAGAACAAGUGCGAGAGUAACUGCUCGCACCUUGACGGUACCUAACCAGAAAGCCACGGCUAACUACGUGCCAGCAGCCGCGGUA